rnacentral:piRNA from 1 species
UGAGCCCCUGAUGCUUUGUCAGUUUUA